GACAGCAGUAGCCGCGGUAAUACGAAGGGGGCUAGCGUUGUUCGGAAUCACUGGGCGUAAAGCGUGCGUAGGCGGUGAGUUAAAUCUGCUGUGAAAUCCCCGGGCUCAACCUGGGAAUGGCAGUGGAUACUGGCUCGCUAGAGUGUGUCAGAGGAUGGUGGAAUUCCCGGUGUAGCGGUGAAAUGCGUAGAGAUCGGGAGGAACAUCAGUGGCGAAGGCGGCCAUCUGGGACAACACUGACGCUGAGGCACGAAAGCGUGGGGAGCAAACAGGAUUAGAUACCCCUGUAGUCCCUGUCUCUUAUAA
rnacentral:rRNA from 1 species